UACGAAGGGGGCUAGCGUUGCUCGGAAUUACUGGGCGUAAAGGGCGCGUAGGCGGAUAUUUAAGUUGGGGGUGAAAUCCCGGGGCUCAACCUCGGAAUUGCCUUCAAAACUGGAUAUCUUGAGUUCGGGAGAGGUGAGUGGAACUCCGAGUGUAGAGGUGAAAUUCGUAGAUAUUCGCAAGAACACCAGUGGCGAAGGCGGCUCACUGGCCCAUUACUGACGCUGAGGCACGAAAGCGUGGGGAGCAAACAGG
rnacentral:rRNA from 1 species